rnacentral:rRNA from 1 species
AACGUAGGAGACGAGCGUUAUCCGAAUUUACUGGGCGUAAAGCGCGUGUAGGCGGUUCGGUAAGUUGGAUGUGAAAUCUCCUGGCUCAACUGGGAGAGGACGUUCAAUACUGUCGGACUUGAGGGCGAUAGAGGGAGGUAGAAUUCCCGGUGUAGUGGUGAAAUGCGUAGAUAUCGGGAGGAAUACCAGUGGCGAAGGCGGCCUCCUGGAUCGCACCUGACGCUCAGACGCGAAAGCUAGGGGAGCGAACGGG